GUGCCAGCCGCCGCGGUAAUACCAGCGGCCCUAGUGGUGAUCGUUAUUAUUGGGCCUAAAGCGUCCGUAGCCGGCUCGGUAAAUCUCUGGGUAAAUCGAUAGGCUUAACCUAUCGAAUUCUGGGGAGACUGCCGGGCUUGGGAUCGGGAGAGGUCGGAGGUACUCCAGGGGUAGGGGUGAAAUCCUGUAAUCCUUGGGGGACCACCGGUGGCGAAGGCGUCCGACCAGAACGAGUCCGACGGUAAGGGACGAAGCCCUGGGGCGCAAACCGGAUUAGAUACCCCCGUAGUCC
rnacentral:rRNA from 1 species